rnacentral:misc_RNA from 1 species
AACGGUCUAUACCUGCGGUACCUGCGGAAGGAUCAUUACCGAGUGAGGGCCCUCUGGGUCCAACCUCCCACCCGUGUUUAUUUUACCUUGUUGCUUCGGUGGGCCCGCCGAAAGGCCGCCGGGGGCUUCUGCCCCGGGCCCGUGCCCACCGAAGACAAACUGAACUCUGUCUGAAUGUUGCAGUCUGAGUAUAUAACUAAAUUAGUUAAAACUUUUAACAACGGAUCUCUAGAUCGGAAG